rnacentral:rRNA from 1 species
UACGUAGGGUGCAAGCGUUAAUCGGAAUUACUGGGCGUAAAGCGUGCGAAGGCGGCUUUGCAAGACAGAUGUGAAAUCCCCGGGCUCAACCUGGGAACUGCAUUUGUGACUGCAAGGCUAGAGUACGGUAGAGGGGGAUGGAAUUCCGCGUGUAGCAGUGAAAUGCGUAGAUAUGCGGAGGAACACCGAUGGCGAAGGCAAUCCCCUGGACCUGUACUGACGCUCAUGCACGAAAGCGUGGGGAGCAAACAGG